rnacentral:rRNA from 1 species
UCGAACGCAGUAGCAAUACUGAGUGGCAGACGGGUGAGUAACAUGUGGGAAUCUGCCUUGUGGUUCAGGACAACAUUGGGAAACUGAUGCUAAUACUGGAUAAGCCCUUACGGGGAAAGUUUUAAUGCCAUAAGAUGAGCCCGCAUUUGAUUAGUUAGUUGGUGAGGUAAUGGCUCACCAAGACAAUGAUCAAUAGCUGAUCUGAGAGGAUGAUCAGCCACACUGGGACUGAGACACGGCCCAGACUCCUACGGGAGGCAGCAGUGGGGAAUCUUGCACAAUGGAGGAAACUCUGAUGCAGCGAUGCCGCGUGAGUGAAGAAGGCCUUUGGGUUGUAAAGCUCUUUUGUAGGGGAAGAUAAUGACUGUACCCUAAGAAUAAGGUCCGGCUAACUUCGUGCCAGCAGCCGCGGUAAUACGAAGGGACCUAGCGUAGUUCGGAAUUACUGGGCGUAAAGCGCGCGUAGGCCGUUGAGUUAGUUAAUUGUGAAAUCCCAAAGCUUAACUUUGGAACUGCAAUUAAAACUGCUCGACUAGAGUUUGAUAGAGGAAAGCGGAAUACAUAGUGUAGAGGUGAAAUUCGUAGAUAUUAUGUAGAACACCAGUUGCGAAGGCGGCUUUCUGGAUCAACA